GGCGGUGUAGCUCAGCUGGUUAGAGCACCGGAAUCAUAAUCCGGGUGUCCGGGGUUCGAGUCCCUGCGCCGCUA
rnacentral:tRNA from 1 species